rnacentral:rRNA from 1 species
GCGGAGUGAUGGUGCUUGCACUAUCACUUAGCGGCGGACGGGUGAGUAAUGCUUAGGAAUCUGCCUAUUAGUGGGGGACAACAUUUCGAAAGGAAUGCUAAUACCGCAUACGUCCUACGGGAGAAAGCAGGGGAUCUUCGGACCUUGCGCUAAUAGAUGAGCCUAAGUCGGAUUAGCUAGUUGGUGGGGUAAAGGCCUACCAAGGCGACGAUCUGUAGCGGGUCUGAGAGGAUGAUCCGCCACACUGGGACUGAGACACGGCCCAGACUCCUACGGGAGGCAGCAGUGGGGAAUAUUGGACAAUGGGCGCAAGCCUGAUCCAGCCAUGCCGCGUGUGUGAAGAAGGCCUUAUGGUUGUAAAGCACUUUAAGCGAGGAGGAGGCUACUGAAGUUAAUACCUUCAGAUAGUGGACGUUACUCGCAGAAUAAGCACCGGCUAACUCUGUGCCAGCAGCCGCGGUAAUACAGAGGGUGCAAGCGUUAAUCGGAUUUACUGGGCGUAAAGCGCGCGUAGGCGGCUAAUUAAGUCAAAUGUGAAAUCCCCGAGCUUAACUUGGGAAUUGCAUUCGAUACUGGUUAGCUAGAGUGUGGGAGAGGAUGGUAGAAUUCCAGGUGUAGCGG